GUGUGUUUCUACCUACAGGGUCUGCUGGGGAGGCAUCACCCCAAGGCCCCACCAUCAAUGAGCAGGAGAAGAGACAUGAGAGGUUGGAGAAGCUCAAAAGAGAGCUCCAGAACAUAAAAAAUGCCAGAGACGAACUUCAGGAAAUCCUGGCCAACUACACUAACAAGGAUUUAAAUGACAGGAUCAACUUUGAGACAUUCAUGCUUGAGAUGCAACAUGACCAGGUGAACUUACCUGAAGAGAAUGCCCCAGGAUAUCAGUGAGGCCUUGUCCAAGUGCAAGCAGUUGACUAAAGAAAAUCAGUUCUACAGCUUCAGGAACUGCCACCUCCUGAUUGAAUCUAACCUCAUCCAGCACAAAGUCAGGAUGUUGAGGAAGGAGAACAGACAGCUGCUAAGGGAGCAGAUUGCAUUGGAAGAAUGCAACAUAGAAACAAAAAUACUAUGUAAUGAAGGCAGCCAGAAGAUCAAAGACCACUAUACUAAGCAGC
rnacentral:lncRNA from 1 species